UACGUAGGGCGCAAGCGUUUGUCCGGAAUUAUUGGGCGUAAAGAGCUCGUAGGUGGUUUUGUCGCGUCUGCCGUGAAAGCCCGGGGCUUAACUCCGGGUCUGCGGUGGAUACGGGCAGACUAGAGGCAGGUAGGGGAGAACGGAAUUCCCGGUGUAGCGGUGAAAUGCGCAGAUAUCGGGAGGAACACCGGUGGCGAAGGCAGCUUGCUGGGACGGUACUGACGCUGAGGCGCGAAAGCGUGGGGAG
rnacentral:rRNA from 1 species